GACGAACGCUGGCGGCGUGCCUAAUACAUGCAAGUAGAACGCUGAAGGAGGAGCUUGCUUCUCUGGAUGAGUUGCGAACGGGUGAGUAACGCGUAGGUAACCUGCCUGGUAGCGGGGGAUAACUAUUGGAAACGAUAGCUAAUACCGCAUAAGAGUAGAUGUUGCAUGACAUUUGCUUAAAAGGUGCAAUUGCAUCACUACCAGAUGGACCUGCGUUGUAUUAGCUAGUUGGUGAGGUAACGGCUCACCAAGGCGACGAUACAUAGCCGACCUGAGAGGGUGAUCGGCCACACUGGGACUGAGACACGGCCCAGACUCCUACGGGAGGCAGCAGUAGGGAAUCUUCGGCAAUGGGCGGAAGUCUGACCGAGCAACGCCGCGUGAGUGAAGAAGGUUUUCGGAUCGUAAAGCUCUGUUGUAAGAGAAGAACGAGUGUGAGAGUGGAAAGUUCACACUGUGACGGUAUCUUACCAGAAAGAGACGGCUAACUACGUG
rnacentral:rRNA from 1 species